AACUACCAUUUCUCUCCAGGAAUGAGAAUUUGCUUCACAGCUCUAAAAUGCACAGAUUCUGAACCCUCUCACUUCCUUCCAGUUAGUUGCCUACCCAUUAAUCAUUUCCUCUACUCCAGUGUAUCAGCUAGUGGAAUCUUUCUCAAGUAGGUUACUGGAAUUUUCUGUAGCAUGUUUCCAAUGCAGUUUUUUAGGACACACCCCUAGAUAUUCUGAUUCGGGAUUGGAUUGGGGGUCAGCAUUUAAAACAUGGGUCGUGAGACUGGAGGAAACACUGGGCCGAUGUCCUAACAGAUCUACCCAUUUCUAAUUUUCUUGUUUCAAUCGAUUCUCCCUUCUCAGAGUUACUCUCAGGGUCUCUGGAGACUUCCAUACUGGUUUCCAUCG
rnacentral:lncRNA from 1 species